UAAGCAAAUCGGAUAGCCGCGGGUAUAUGUUCUAUAUACCUGAGGAAAGUCGGAGCUCCACAGGGCAGGGUGCUGGAUAACGUCCAGUGGGGGCGACCCCAAGGAAAGUGCCACAGAAACAAACCGCCACGGAAGGAUUUAUUCCGUGGUAAGGGUGGAAAGGUGAGGUAAGAGCUCACCAGCGUUUAGGCGACUAAACGGCUAGGUAAACCCCACCCGGAGCAAGACCAAAUAGGGGAACUAGGAAGUGGCCCGCUUCGUUCCCGGGUUAGGUCGCUUGAGGUGUCAGGCAACUGGCAUCCCAGAUAGAUGGCUAUCCUCGACAGAACUCCGCUUACAGAUUUGCUUACUUA
rnacentral:RNase_P_RNA from 1 species